UCAGACUGUAAUUGCCUCAGACAUUUGCAACUCAUAGCAAAGCCUGCAGAUCAACUUUACAGCAGAAAUCAUGAGGACAGCUUACGUGUGUCUGAUACUUGGGCUGAUGCUGAUGGCGACCCUGAAAUCUGAAGCUCAGCCUUUGGCAGGUCCAGUCCCUGCGACCUGCUGUUUCAACUUCAUUGGCUUCCCAAUUCCAGUGAAUAAAAUUAAAAGUGCCGAGAGAACAAGCUCAUCUUGCUCAAUCAAAGGCGUUGUGGUUACAACUGAAAAAGGCAACGAGUUUUGUGUGAAACCCGAAGAGACCUGGCUUCAGAACAUAGCAAUAGCCUAAUAUAACUGAUGCUUCAGCCAUUACAAAUGCAAUUUUGAAUCAUACUGUUUCAUUGCUUUAUAUCUGUUCUUUCUUAUUAAAUACAUUUUUGCACUUCUUUGCAUUAUAAGUUGCAUUAUGAAAAAAACACUUUUGCACUCAAACUGUCCUAAAGAUAUGACUAUUUUGCAAUAUGUUAUGCUGACAAGCCAAUAAAUAAUAAAAUCUUA